AGCGAACGCUGGCGGCAGGCCUAAUACAUGCAAGUCGAGCGCACCUUCGGGUGAGCGGCGGACGGGUGAGUAACGCGUGGGAACGUGCCCUUUGGUACGGGAUAACUGAGGGAAACUUCAGCUAAUACCGUAUGUGCCCUACGGGGGAAAGAUUUAUCGCCAUUGGAGCGGCCCGCGUUGGAUUAGCUAGUUGGUGAGGUAAAGGCUCACCAAGGCUACGAUCCAUAGCUGGUCUGAGAGGAUGAUCAGCCACACUGGGACUGAGACACGGCCCAGACUCCUACGGGAGGCAGCAGUAGGGAAUCUUGCGCAAUGGGCGAAAGCCUGACGCAGCCAUGCCGCGUGAAUGAUGAAGGUCUUAGGAUUGUAAAAUUCUUUCACCGGGGAAGAUAAUGACGGUACCCGGAGAAGAAGCCCCGGCUAACUUCGUGCCAGCCGCCGCGGUAAUAC
rnacentral:rRNA from 1 species